rnacentral:rRNA from 1 species
GAUCAUGGCUCAGAACGAACGCUGGCGGCGCGUUUAAGCAUGCAAGUCGAGCGGCAAGGGCCUUCGGGCCCCUAGAGCGGCGGACGGGUGAGUAACACGUGGACAAUCUGCCCCCCGGCCCGGGAUAGCCCAGGGAAACCUGGAUUAAUACCGGAUGAGACGGGACCCGCGAUGGCGGGAUCCGGGAAAGGCGCUGCGGCGCCGCCGGGGGAUGAGUCUGCGUCCCAUUAGCUAGACGGCGGGGUAACGGCCCACCGUGGCGACGAUGGGUAGCCGGCCUGAGAGGGUGGACGGCCACAUUGGAACUGAGACACGGUCCAGACUCCUACGGGAGGCAGCGGCUAAGAAUCUUCCGCAAUGGGCGAAAGCCUGACGGAGCGACGCCCGCGUGAACGAAGAAGGCCGUGAGGUUGUAAAGUUCUUUUCGGGAGGGGGAACAACCGUGGCAGGGAAUGGCCGCGGGAUGACGUGAAUCCCGGAAUAAGCCCCGGCUAACUACGUGCCAGCAGCCGC